AAAUAUUUUUUAAUAUUUUUAUAUUCUUCUCAUUAAGUAAAAAUUCACUAAAGAAAAAAAAUUGGCUAAUUUAUCGAGUAAAAUUGAUAUUUUAUGUCCUUCAUUUCACCCAAUUAGAUGAAAAUAUUAAUUUGGGACUCUCUUAGGAAUCGGAAAAUAUAAAAAUUUGAUAAAGCGAUUAAAAAAAAUUUUAAAAACAAAAAAACUCAAAAAAAAAAAAAAGUAGCUAAUUAAAAACUCGCCCCACCCCACCCCAAAAAAAAAAACCUAAGCCAAACUGGGCCAAGUCAGAUCCACAUCUACAACCCAAUUAUUCAGUUCAACGACUUUGACCCACUACCCUAACUGGACCCAACCAUUUUAAUACCACGUCCAUGUAAACCAAAUUUUCUGCAACCCAAAACACCCAAUCCAUACCCCUAAAUUGGCCCAAACCAGCCCACACUCGUACUAAACCCAGUUAGCCCGGUUCGUUUAAAGAACCCGGUUUGUUUUUAGUUCAAACCCCUUAUAUCCUAAGCCCAACCCCUUCAAUCCAAAGUCCAGCUCGCUUCCCAAAAAAAAAAUGAGUGGUAAAUUAGGUAUAUGAUAAAAAACGAGUGGAUAUGAUGAAUGCUUGUGAUUUUGUUGAUUCAUCGUGAUUAGGCAUAUGGUAAAUUAUUGAGAUUAUAGACGAAUUAAAUAACUAGUGCUUUAAAGUUAAAUUAAUAAUCGAUCAUAAUUAUCUAAUUAGUCGUAGCAGUAUGUAAUUCGAAAUGAAUAAAACAAAAUGACAUGUCGCAUAUAUGCAACCAAUCAUGGAGAAAAUGUUGGUUCACAUUUUAGGGAUACUUCCCCAACUCCUCGACAACAUUGAACAGAAUAUGAGAAAGUUGCGAUCGAAGUCAAACAAGCUAUAGUUGAAGUCGAGACAAUGUUUAAGUCCAAGAAGUUGUAAUCGAAGUCAAAAAAAGCUAUAGUUGAAGAGCUAGCAAGUUCCAUAGAUAACGCUCUAACCGUUAAAUUGUGAGAAAGUUCCAUAGAAAACACUUGAAACCUUUGAACUAUAUAAGCCUUGCCAAGAAUCGAAUCUUUGACCAAGUUGUAGAAGAUUGGUUUAAUUGUUAUCGAUUUUGAUUGUGUUCAAUCCAUGUUUGAUAGAACUUGUCAACAACGUGAAGCUUUGGGCCCAUUCCAUCAAGGGGCACUCAAAAAAAAAUUAAAAAAAGAUUUUUUUAAAAAAAAUUCUUUUGAUUUUUUAUUUCUGAAUUUUUUUUUAGAAAUAUUUUAUGUAUUUAUAUAAAUAAGGCACCAUUGACAAAAUUCGCUUUGAACACCAUAAACUCAAAGGCGUGCUAUCACGAUAUAUGGAUUUACCUAAAAACUAAAUCAAAAUAAGUUAGGUCCUCUCCUCGCACUUCAUAAAUACUAAGGCUACAUUGAUUCAUAAACAACGCCACAAAUCGUUUUUUUUGGGUCUAUUUAGUGUGUAUUGAAAAUAUGGCCAAAUAAGUUGUGUUAAAUAGAAUUUGAAAAUGUAUUAGAAAAAAAAUCUGAUAACAAAAAAAUUAACUAAUUUAUUGAGUAAAAAUAAAUUUGUCGUUAGUGGUUUUUUUUUUAAAAUUAGAUAGAGAAAUUUAGAUUUACAGACUUCUCUCAUCAAGAGGCACCCAAAAAGUAUAAAAAAUUGAUCAAACGUGAAAAAAGUUAGAAAACUAAAACACUCAAAAAGUCUAUAAAAAAAAACUAGGAUUUUUUUUAUAAUCUUUCCCGUUCAUAUUGAUAUGGUGAAUCUGAAAAUAUAAAAUUUUGUUUUAAUUUAAAAAAAAUAUUAAAGACAAAAAAGCUAAUUUAUUGAGUAAAAAUAAAAAAAAAGCGUUACUAUUUUUUUUUUCAAAUUAGAUAAAUUUUUUAAUAUUUUCAGACUUUUCUCGUCAAAUGAAACUGAAAAAUAUGAAAAAUGAUCAAAUGGUGAAAAAGUUCCCUAAAAAUAAAAUGCCUCAAAAAUCAAAACAACUAAAAAAUUAAAAAUAAGAAGGCUAGGCCAAACGGGGCCAUUCCAGUUAUUCUUAAUGAGAUAAAUUUAAAAAUAAAAAAAUUUUGUCUAAUUUAAAAAAAAUCCACCACCAAAAUAUAAUAAUAGAUGAUUUUUUUUUGAAGUAAAUUUUGUUUUAAACUAUACCGAUAUAGUCCAUUUUUAAAAGAAACGAGGUAUUUUCCAUUUUAAGAGGAGUUCAAAUAAUUUAUUGAGAGACAAACGAGGUGAACGAUGGUUGGUAAAACGAUGAUGAAGAGAGAAAGGGUAAAAUUGUCCUUUAGAAAUUAUUAGACGACCAUGAAUCCUUUUGAAAAGACAACAUAGGAUAAUAACAGAUGAUCUGGCAUUCUUAAAGACCGCCUGUUUUCCUUCACUUUCAUACGGAAUGUGAGAGGUUCUGCUGGCAACAGCUAAUGAUGUUUCCUGUAUUGACGAAAAAGCCCCUAACAGCCCGUUUGGC
rnacentral:lncRNA from 1 species